rnacentral:ncRNA from 1 species
CCCUUAAGUCCCCCCUAGGGAUAAGGAGCUGGUAUCAGGCCCAUUUUUAGCCCAAGACACCUAGCUACGCCACACCCACAAGGGAAUGCAGCAGUGAUUAACCUUGAUAAUAAGCGCAAGCUUGAAUCAGUUAAAGUAAACAGAGCCGGCAAAUCUGGUGCCAGCCGCCGCGGUUACACCACGUGACUCAAAUUGACCCCCCACGGCGUAAAGCGUGAUUAAAGCUAAUAAAAACUAUAGUUAAACCCGAAUUAAGCCGUGAAAUUCUUAUUCUGCGGAAACCCAAAAACGAAAGUUACUACAAUUCAAACAACUUGAACUCACGACAGCUGGGAAACAAACUGGGAUUAGAUACCCCACUAUGCCCAACCGUAAACCUUAAUUUACACUCAAAUCGCCAGGGAACUACGAGCAAAGCUUAAAACCCAAAGGACUUGACGGUACCCCAUAUCCACCUAGAGGAGCCUGUCCUAUAAUCGAUAAYCCACGUUUAACCUCACCACUUUUAGCCUAUCAGCCUGUAUACCUCCGUCGUCAGCUUACCACGUGAGCGACCAUAGUGAGCUCAAUGUCCACCCAUCAAAACGUCAGGUCAAGGUGCAGCUUAUAAAGUGGGAAGAGAUGGGCUACACUCUCUAAUCUAGAGAACACGAAAGACUACUUAUGAAACCUAGUCGGAAGGCGGAUUUAGAAGUAAAAGGGGACAAGAAGGCCCCUUUUAACCAGGCACUGGGGUGUGUACACACCGCCCGUCACCCUCUUCGAAGCCAAUAAAACAGUAUUUAACUCACCUAAGCAAAAUAGAAGAGGCAAGUCGUAACAUGGUAAGUAUACCGGAAGGUGUGCUUGGAAA